rnacentral:rRNA from 1 species
UCUUGAUAUGGUGAAGCCGUCCGGCUGAUCUGUUGAUGGAAAGAAGAUAUAGCGGCAGACUGGUGAGUAACACGUGAGUAAUUUACCUCUAAGUCGGGGAUAGCCUUGCGAAAGCGAGGGUAAUACCCGAUGUGUUUACGGCUGCAUAAGCAGCUGUAAGUAAAGGAGGCCCGCAAGGGUUUUUGUUUAGAGAUGAGCUCGCGUCCUAUCAGCUAGUUGGUGGGGUAAUGGCCUACCAAGGCGUUUCACGGGUAGUUGGCCUGAGAGGGUGGUCACCCACAUGGGGACUGAGACACUGCCCCAACUCCUACGGGAGGCUGCAGUCGAGGAUAUUUAGCAAUGGACGAAAGUCUGACUAUGUGACGCCGCGUGAGGGAUGAAGGUCUUCGGAUUGUAAACCCC